rnacentral:rRNA from 1 species
CUAUCAGCUUGUUGGUGGAGGUAAUGGCUCCACCAAGGCGUCGACGGGUAGCCGGCCUGAGAGGGUGACCGACCACACUGGGACUGAGACACGGCCCAGACUCCUACGGGAGGCAGCAGUGGGGAAUAUUGCACAAUGGGCGCAAGCCUGAUGCAGCAACGCCGCGUGAGGGAUGACGGCCUUCGGGUUGUAAACCUCUUUUAGCAGGGAAGAAGCGAAAGUGACGGUACCUGCAGAAAAAGCGCCGGCUAACUACGUGCCAGCAGCCGCGGUAAUACGUAGGGCGCAAGCGUUAUCCGGAAUUAUUGGGCGUAAAGAGCUCGUAGGCGGUUUGUCGCGUCUGCUGUGAAAUCCGGAGGCUCAACCUCCGGCCUGCAGUGGGUACGGGCAGACUAGAGUGCGGUAGGGGAGAUUGGAAUUCCUGGUGUAGCGGUGGAAUGCGCAGAUAUCAGGAGGAACACCGAUGGCGAAGGCAGAUCUCUGGGCCGUAACUGACGCUGAGGAGCGAAAGGGUGGGGAGCAAACAGGCUUAGAUACCCUGGUAGUCCACCCCGUAAACGUUGGGAACUAGUUGUGGGGUCCAUUCCACGGAUUCCGUGACGCAGCUAACGCAUUAAGUUCCCCGCCUGGGGAGUACGGCCGCAAGGCUAAAACUCAAAGGAAUUGACGGGGACCCGCACAAGCGGCGGAGCAUGCGGAUUAAUUCGAUGCAACGCGAAGAACCUUACCAAGGCUUGACAUAUACGAGAACGGGCCAGAAAUGGUCAACUCUUUGGACACUCGUAAACAGGUGGUGCAUGGUUGUCGUCAGCUCGUGUCGUGAGAUGUUGGGUUAAGUCCCGCAACGAGCGCAACCCUCGUUCUAUGUUGCCAGCACGUAAUGGUGGGAACUCAUGGGAUACUGCCGGGGUCAACUCGGAGGAAGGUGGGGAUGACGUCAAAUCAUCAUGCCCCUUAUGUCUUGGGCUUCACGCAUGCUACAAUGGCCCGGUACAAAGGGCUGCAAU